UGCGUAGGCGGAUCUUCAAGUGUCUUGUGAAAUCCCACGGCUCAACCGUGGAAUUGCUCGAUAGACUGGAGAUCUUGAGGUUGGUAGGGGUCGCUGGAACUCUAGGUGGAGCGGUGAAAUGCGUAGAUAUCUAGAGGAACGCCGAAGGUGAAGACAAGCGACUGGGCCAAAUCUGACGCUGAGGCACGAAAGCGUGGGGAGCAAACGGGAUUAGAUACCCCGGUAGUCCACGCCCUAAACGAUGUACACUAGAUCGCAGAGGUUUUGACACCAUUGUGGUCGAAGAAAAAUUAUUAAGUGUACCGCCUGGGGAGUACGGUCGCAAGGCUAAA
rnacentral:rRNA from 1 species